rnacentral:rRNA from 1 species
AUACGGAGGGGGUUAGCGUUGUUCGGAAUUACUGGGCGUAAAGCGUGCGUAGGCGGACUAUUAAGUCAGAGGUGAAAUCCCGGGGCUCAACCCCGGAACUGCCUUUGAUACUGGUAGUCUUGAGGUCGAGAGAGGUGAGUGGAAUUCCAAGUGUAGAGGUGAAAUUCGUAGAUAUUUGGAGGAACACCAGUGGCGAAGGCGGCUCACUGGCUCGAUUCUGACGCUGAGGUACGAAAGUGUGGGGAGCAAACAGGAUUAGAUACCCUAGUAGUCC